UCCGUAGGUGAACCUGCGGAGGGAUCAUUACCGAGUUAUACAACUCAUCAACCCUGUGAACAUACCUAAAACGUUGCUUCGGCGGGAACAGACGGCCCUGUAACAACGGGCCGCCCCCGCCAGAGGGCUCCUAACUCUGUUUUUAUAAUGUUUUUCUGAGUAAACAAGCAAAUAAAUUAAAGCUUUCAACAACGGAUCUCUUGGCUCUGGCAUCGAUGAAGAACGCAGCGAAAUGCGAUAAGUAAUGUGAAUUGCAGAAUUCAGUGAAUCAUCGAAUCUUUAAACGCACAUUGCGCCCGCCAGUAUUCUGGCGGGCAUGCCUGUUCGAGCGUCAUUACAACCCUCAGGCCCCCGGGCCUGGCGUUGGGGAUCGGCGGAAGCCCCCUGUGGGCACACGCCGUCCCUCAAAUACAGUGGCGGUCCCGCCGCAGCUUCCAUUGCGUAGUAGCUAACACCUCGCAACUGGAGAGCGGCGCGGCCAUGCCGUAAAACACCCAACUUCUGAAUGUUGACCUCGAAUCAGGUAGGAAUACCCGCUGAACUUAAGCAUAUCAAUAAGCGGAGGA
rnacentral:rRNA from 1 species